rnacentral:misc_RNA from 1 species
GAUGAAGAACGUAGCGAAAUGCGAUAAGUAAUGUGAAUUGCAGAAUUCAGUGAAUCAUCGAAUCUUUGAACGCACAUUGCGCCCGCCAGUAUUCUGGCGAGCAUGCCUGUUCGAGCGUCAUUUCAACCAUCAAGCCCCAGGCUUGUGUUGGAGCCCUGCGGCUGCCGCAGCCUCCCAAAACCAGUGGCGGGCUCGCUAUCACACCGAGUGCAGUAGUUUACUCUUCGCUCAGGGCGUGUGGCGGGUGCUAGCCGUGAAACCCCCAACUUCUCAAGGUUGACCUCGUAUCAGGUAGGAAUACCCGCUGAACUUAAGCAUAUCAAUAAGCGGAGGA